rnacentral:rRNA from 1 species
UACGGAGGGUGCUAGCGUUGUUCGGAAUCACUGGGCUUAAAGCGCACGUAGGCGGACGUGUAAGUCAGGGGUGAAAUCCCGGAGCUCAACUUCGGAACUGCCUUUGAUACAGCACGUCUUGAGUCCGGAAGAGGUGGGUGGAAUUCCUAGUGUAGAGGUGAAAUUCGUAGAUAUUAGGAAGAACACCGGUGGCGAAGGCGGCCCACUGGUCCGGUACUGACGCUGAGGUGCGAAAGCGUGGGGAGCAAACAGG